rnacentral:rRNA from 1 species
CAGCCGCCGCGGGAAUACGUAGGUCCCGAGCGUUGUCCGGAUUUAUUGGGCGUAAAGCGAGCGCAGGCGGUUUGAUAAGUCUGAAGUUAAAGGCUGUGGCUCAACCAUAGUUCGCUUUGGAAAUUGUCAAACUUGAGUGCAGAAGGGGAGAGUGGAAUUCCAUGUGUAGCGGUGAAAUGCGUAGAUAUAUGGAGGAACACCGGUGGCGAAAGCGGCUCUCUGGUCUGUAACUGACGCUGAGGCUCGAAAGCGUGGGGAGCGAACAGGAUUAGAUACCCCGGUAGUCCCUGUUUCUUAUACA